rnacentral:tRNA from 1 species
GCCGAUGUAGCUCAGUUGGUAGAGCAACUGAUUCGUAAUCAGUAGGUCGAGGGUUCGACUCCCUUCAUUGGCUCCA